UGGUGAACUCCACAUACGCAUCCUUUGCUGAGGAUACGGUUAACGGAGCGAAAGCGACGUUCAACCUCAAAAGAAGCAGAGGGGGCUUAGUGGUGGGGUGACUGCGUACCUUUUGUAUAAUGGGUCAGCGACUUAUAUUCUGUAGCAAGGUUAACCGAAUAGGGGAGCCGGAGGGAAACCGAGUCUUAACCGGGCGUUAAGUUGCAGGGUAUAGACCCGAAACCCGGUGAUCUAGCCAUGGGCAGGUUGAAGGUUGGGUAACACUAACUGGAGGACCGAACCGACUAAUGUUGAAAAAUUAGCGGAUGACCUGUGGCUGGGGGUGAAAGGCCAAUCAAACCGGGAGAUAGCUGGUUCUCCCCGAAAGCUAUUUAGGUAGCGCCUCGUGAAUUCAUCUCCGGGGGUAGAGCACUGUUUCGGCUAGGGGGCCAUCCCGGCUUACCAACCCGAUGCAAACUGCGAAUACCGGAGAAUGUUAUCACGGGAGACACACGGCGGGUGCUAACGUCCGUCGUGAAGAGGGAAACAACCCAGACCGCCAGCUAAGGUCCCAAAGUCAUGGUUAAGUGGGAAACGAUGUGGGAAGGCCCAGACAGCCAGGAUGUUGGCUUAGAAGCAGCCAUCAUUUAAAGAAAGCGUAAUAGCUCACUGGUCGAGUCGGCCUGCGCGGAAGAUGUAACGGGGCUAAACCAUG
rnacentral:rRNA from 1 species